UACAGAGGUCUCAAGCGUUGUUCGGAUUUAUUGGGCGUAAAGGGUGCGUAGGCGGCGCGGUAAGUCGGGUGUGAAAUCUCGGGGCUUAACUCCGAAACUGCAUUCGAUACUGCCGUGCUUGAGGACUGGAGAGGAGACUGGAAUUUACGGUGUAGCGGUGAAAUGCGUAGAUAUCGUAAGGAAGACCAGUGGCGAAGGCGGGUCUCUGGACAGUUCCUGACGCUGAGGCACGAAAGUCAGGGGAGCAAACGGG
rnacentral:rRNA from 1 species